rnacentral:rRNA from 1 species
UCCGAAUGGGGAAACCCAGUGUGAUUCGUCACACUAUCAUUAACUGAAUCCAUAGGUUAAUGAGGCGAACCGGGGGAACUGAAACAUCUAAGUACCCCGAGGAAAAGAAAUCAACCGAGAUUCCCCCAGUAGCGGCGAGCGAACGGGGAGGAGCCCAGAGCCUGAAUCAGUGUGUGUGUUAGUGGAAGCGUCUGGAAAGGCGCGCGAUACAGGGUGACAGCCCCGUACACAAAAAUGCACAUACUGUGAGCUCGAUGAGUAGGGCGGGACACGUGGUAUCCUGUCUGAAUAUGGGGGGACCAUCCUCCAAGGCUAAAUACUCCUGACUGACCGAUAGUGAACCAGUACCGUGAGGGAAAGGCGAAAAGAACCCCGGCGAGGGGAGUGAAAAAGAACCUGAAACCGUGUACGUACAAGCAGUGGGAGCACGCUUCGGCGUGUGACUGCGUACCUUUUGUAUAAUGGGUCAGCGACUUAUAUUCUGUAGCAAGGUUAACCGAAUAGGGGAGCCGAAGGGAAACCGAGUCUUAACUGGGCGUUAAGUUGCAGGGUAUAGACCCGAAACCCGGUGAUCUAGCCAUGGGCAGGUUGAAGGUUGGGUAACACUAACUGGAGGACCGAACCGACUAAUGUUGAAAAAUUAGCGGAUGACUUGUGGCUGGGGGUGAAAGGCCAAUCAAACCGGGAGAUAGCUGGUUCUCCCCGAAAGCUAUUUAGGUAGCGCCUCGUGAAUUCAUCUCCGGGGGUAGAGCACUGUUUCGGCAAGGGGGUCAUCCCGACUUACCAACCCGAUGCAAACU